CAGUCGAUCUGCUGCGGGCUGAUAAAAUGAAUGUGGGUAUCAAUUCCGCCGGCAGUUACGAUCAUGCCUUCUCCUGCCAGUGCCUCUGUGGAAGCUCCAACCGUCAUGCCCGGAGUUACGCCGUCCAUAAUAUCCGGGUUUCCUGCUUUUCCGAUUCCAACGAUUUUGCCGUCUUUGAUACCGAUAUCUGCUUUUAUGAUUCCGGUCACAUCCACGAUCAGUGCAUUUGUGAUGACCAGAUCCAGAUCUCCGUCUUUGCUGCAGGUCUUAACAGACUGUCCCAUACCGUCACGG
rfam:Firmicutes bacterium CAG:56 genomic scaffold, scf237